rnacentral:SRP_RNA from 1 species
CCGUGCUAGAUGGGGAGCUGGCGGUGCCUUGUACCCGCAAUCCGCCACAGCGGGGUCGAAUUCCUCCCCAAGGUCUGGUCCAGCGGCCUCUGCCCGUUCGGAGCGGCGUCGAGGGCCGGGACCCGCGCGACGGACGCCCGUGAACCCCGCCAGGCCCGGAAGGGAGCAACGGUAAGCGGAAACGCCGGGCGCCGCGGGGCCACCUGGCCUGAGUUGCGAAGGCGGGUACGCCGAGGGGUCCACGAUCGACGGGAGGUGCACGG